GACGAACGCUGGCGGCGUGCUUAACACAUGCAAGUCGAACGAAGUGGCGAACGGGUGAGUAAUACGUGGGUAACUGCCCUCCUUUUUGGGAUAAGCCUUGGAAACGGGGUCUAAUACCGAAUAAAGGGGGAGGGCUCGCGGCCUAUCAGCUUGUUGGUGGGGUGAUGGCCUACAAAGGCGGUGACGGGUAGCCGCACUGAGCGGGGGACCGGCCACAGUGGGCUUAGAUACGGCCCAAACUCCUACGGGGUGGAGCAGUGGGGAAUAUUGCACAAGGGGGGAAACCCUGAUGCAGCAAUCCGCGUGCGGGAUGACGGCCUUCUGGUUGUAAACCGCUUUCAGCCAUGACGCGGUAGUGGCAGAAGAAGCACCGGCUAACUACGUGCCAGCAGCCGCGGUAAUAC
rnacentral:rRNA from 1 species